AAUGGCCGAAAGGCUGACGCAGCGACGCCGCGUGGGGGAGGAAGGGCUUCGGCUCGUAAACCCCUGUUGCCCGGGGCGAACAUCCUGUUUCGACAGGACUGACGGUACCGGGUGAGGAAGCACCGGCUAACUCCGUGCCAGCAGCCGCGGUAAUACGGAGGGUGCGAGCGUUGUCCGGAAUCACUGGGCGUAAAGGGCGCGUAGGUGGCGUGUCAAGCGCGCGGUGAAAGCCCGGGGCUCAACCCCGGGUCGGCCGUGCGGACUGGCAGGCUUGAGCACUGUAGGGGCGGGUGGAAUUCCGGGUGUAGCGGUGGAAUGCGUAGAGAUCCGGAAGAACACCGGUGGCGAAGGCGGCCCGCUGGGCAGGAAGGCUCGCAAGAGCCGGCUGACACUGAGGCGCGACAGCGUGGGGAGCAGACAGGAUUAGAUACCCUGGUAGUCCACGCCGUAAACGAUGGGCACUAGGUGCUUGGGGGAGCGACCCUCCGAGUGCCGGCGCUAACGCAUUAAGUGCCCCGCCUGGGGAGUAC
rnacentral:rRNA from 1 species